rnacentral:tRNA from 1 species
GGCGCUAUCGUCUAGGGGCUAGGACGGGUGGUUCUCAGCCAUCAAACCAGGGUUCGAUUCCCUGUAGCGCUACCA